rnacentral:rRNA from 1 species
AGUGAACGCUGGCGGUAGGCCUAACACAUGCAAGUCGAACGGCAGCACAGUAAGAGCUUGCUCUUACGGGUGGCGAGUGGCGUACGGGUGAGGAAUACAUCGGAAUCUACUUUUUCGUGGGGGAUAACGUAGGGAAACUUACGCUAAUACCGCAUACGACCUACGGGUGAAAGCAGGGGAUCUUCGGACCUUGCGCGAUUGAAUGAGCCGAUGUCGGAUUAGCUAGUUGGCGGGGUAAAGGCCCACCAAGGCGACGAUCCGUAGCUGGUCUGAGAGGAUGAUCAGCCACACUGGAACUUGGACACGGUCCAGACUCCUACGGGAGGCAGCAGUGGGGAAUAUUGGACAAUGGGCGCAAGCCUGAUCCAGCCAUACCGCGUGGGUGAAGAAGGCCUUCGGGUUGUAAAGCCCUUUUGUUGGGAAAGAAAAGCAGCAGGUUAAUACCCCGCUGUUCUGACGGUACCCAAAGAAUAAGCACCGGCUAACUUCGUG